GCCGCCGUGGCAUAGUGGUCCGAGCGUUGGACUAUGACUCUGGAGACCAGGGUUCGAAUCCUGCCUCAGCC